rnacentral:snoRNA from 1 species
CUACAGCUAAUAAGAUGAUCAGACUCCUUUGCUCUUGGGAGCUCAGUGUGUGAUGGCCGCAAGCAGCAGCCUUCUCAGCAGGGCACACAGCCCGUUGCAUACAUGGGUUAUCCUUGAAGGCAGGU